AAGCUUUUAAUAAAGAGGGAAAGAGAUCCAGCUUACAGCCAAGGAACUUUUGCUAGUUCCUUGAAUCUCCAUGGUUCAUGGCCAGAUGUUGAGCUCCUGGUGUCGUAUCACACCCCUUCUUCUUCCAUGAACCAUCCUCUUGAACCCACCAUGGCUGAGACACCUCCUUUCCUCCCUUUCAAGUCGCCAAAACCAGUACCAAGUAGAAAGCUGUCACCUUUCUUCUUGAACCACCACUAAGACUCACGAAUCUAGCUCUUGAAGAGUGUUGUCAAACCGCU
rnacentral:lncRNA from 1 species